rnacentral:sRNA from 18 species
UUGCUAUCUGCGAUAUGGAAGAUUCGAACCUGCCGCAGGUUCGGGUCUCAUGCAGUGAGACAACGGAGCCGUUUACGGCGACGGCCCGAAGGGCGAGGCGAAGCCGAGUCAUCCUGCACGACCCAUCA